UUGAACGCUGGCGGCAUGCUUUACACAUGCAAGUCGAACGGUAACAGGUUAAGCUGACGAGUGGCGAACGGGUGAGUAAUGCAUCGGAACGUGCCCGAUCGUGGGGGAUAACGCAGCGAAAGCUGCGCUAAUACCGCAUACGAUCUGAGGAUGAAAGCGGGGGACCGUAAGGCCUCGCGCGAUCGGAGCGGCCGAUGUCAGAUUAGGUAGUUGGUGGGGUAAAGGCUCACCAAGCCGACGAUCUGUAGCUGGUCUGAGAGGACGACCAGCCACACUGGGACUGAGACACGGCCCAGACUCCUACGGGAGGCAGCAGUGGGGAAUUUUGGACAAUGGGCGCAAGCCUGAUCCAGCAAUGCCGCGUGCAGGAAGAAGGCCUUCGGGUUGUAAACCGCUUUUGUCAGGGAAGAAACGGGUUUCUCUAAUACAGAGACCUAAUGACGGUACCUGAAGAAUAAGCACCGGCUAACUACGU
rnacentral:rRNA from 1 species